UGGAGCAUCCUCAUGCCAUCUUGUGUGCAAUUUUUAAACUGCAUCUCUGUUGUUGCUUUCGUGCACGGCUCCAAAGUGACUGGCUGGAUUGUGACUGACAAACUCAUUUCACCUAUGACCUAAACUGAAUAUGAACUCAACUCUUCUUAGAGGUAUAAAAACUGCUAUAUUGAAUUGAUCCCUGCAUCUGUAAGACUGUCUUUUCAGAAGAGGAGCAGACUGUUGCAAUUUGGCAGAGGAUGUAGAGCCCAAGAAUGUAGAAAUCAUGCAGCAAUGAAGAAAGAGAAAUAAAUGCUAACAGUAGUGCAAGAUUAAAGCUGGAAAGUGAAGGUUCAAGUAUUUGAUAAAAACUUUUUCCUGUCCCCUCCUUAUAGUGUGGGUUUGCUGUUCUGUUAUGCUACUGCUGCAGCAAAAUGCACUAUUUAUAACAGAUAAAAUAUACAUAGAGGUCACAACACUGAUGUUACCUUCAAAUUUGAUCCAUUUAGUUACUGAUUUUAAUUAUUCUCAAAGCUCAAAUUCCACAGAGAGCUGUGAUAUCAAAUGACAUUAUGAACUCUUGCUGAGUAUUUUAUUUGUAUUAUUCAUCCUAAUAAUAAGCUGUUGCUUCUUAUUUUAAUUAUUCUAGUAGGUGUUUCCUUACAGAUUGUGAUUUAUCUAGUAGUCUAAUGUCAUCUCUAGCUUAGGCCUAUCAACAAACUUGACCCUUACAGAAGGAUGUAUCAGUGAAUAAUAAACAUCUAAAGUGUUACUUUUUCAUAAGAAGAGUUUUAACACUGACAGUACUCAAAAACAUGUAAUAACCAUGUGCAUUUUUGCCUUCCUACACAGUUUCUUGCCAUGUAAGUCUCUCUGUAAUUGUAGGUACAGACUGCUUUUUCUAUUUUAGUGUUUAUUCUUAAAUUAUUCUCUGUUCUGCAUGUCGACAAAUACAGGCAAAAUGAAGACUUAAUAACUUAGUUUAAGGUCUGCCCUCUUAUUUACUCUUACGUUGAGGGUCUCUGGUAUAAAAUCAAGAAAAUUCCUCCUAAAUGUUUUAGAGCAAACAGUCAAAUCGCCUCUAAAGCUACAACCCCAAAAUCAAGAAAUUAAAUCAAUCUGAAUGGAAGACACAUUUCCUUCUGAGUUACUUAUUGUCAUUUUACUGGCUCUUCAGUCUUUCUGGAGUUUUCCAGAUAGUGAUC